rnacentral:tRNA from 1 species
GGACCGGUUAGCUCAGUGGUUUGAGCGCGGUGCUGGCAACAAUGACCAACGCCGAGAUCGCGGGUUCGAUUCCUGCUUGAUCCC